ACGGAAGGCAGCAGUGGGGAAUAUUGGGCAAUGGGCGAAAGCCUGACCCAGCGACGCCGCGUGAGGGAAGAAGGUCUUCGGAUUGUAAACCUCUUUCAGCAGGGAAGAAGGAAGUGACGGUACCUGCAGAAGAAGUCACGGCUAACUACGUGCCAGCAGCCGCGGUAAUACGUAGGUGGCGAGCGUUAUCCGGAAUUACUGGGUGUAAAGGGUGUGUAGGCGGGGAGGCAAGUCAGAUGUGAAAACCAAAGGCUCAACCUUUGGCCUGCAUUUGAAACUGUUUUUCUUGAGAGUGGGAGAGGUAAACGGAAUUCCUGGUGUAGUAGUGAAAUGCGUAGAUAUCAGGAGGAACACCGGUGGCGAAGGCGGUUUACUGGACCACAACUGACGCUGAGACACGAAAGCGUGGGGAGCAAACAGGAUUAGAUACCCUGGUA
rnacentral:rRNA from 1 species